AUUAGGAAUCUUGCGCAAUGGGGGCAACCCUGACGCAGCGACGCCGCGUGGAGGAGGAAGUCCUUCGGGAUGUAAACUCCUUUUGGCAAGGAAGAAGAAAGUGACGGUACUUGCCGAAUAAGCCCCGGCUAACUACGUGCCAGCAGCCGCGGUAAUACGUAGGGGGCGAGCGUUGUCCGAAGUUACUGGGCGUAAAGCGCGCGUAGGCGGGAGCGUAAGUCCGCUGUGAAAGCCCGAAGCUUAACUUCGGUUGGUCGGUGGAGACUGCGUUUCUUGAAGAUGCUAGAGGGAGAUGGAAUUACCGGUGUAGCGGUGAAAUGCGUAGAGAUCGGUAGGAACACCCGUGGCGAAGGCGGUCUCCUGGGGCAGUCUUGACGCUGAGGCGCGAAAGCUGGGGGAGCGAACGG
rnacentral:rRNA from 1 species